UGUUAAAAAGCCAUCCAUUUGUACUAUUAAAAAUUGACAUGAUUGAUGGAAUAACCAGACAGUGACAUGUGGCGUGCCAUGUGCACCUUAUAUUGACAUACAUGAACCAGUCUUUAAAAGUAGAAAUGGAUAAAAUUUUUAACA
rfam:Gossypium hirsutum cultivar TM-1 chromosome 5, whole genome shotgun sequence